rnacentral:rRNA from 1 species
UCAGGAUGAACGCUAGCUACGGGCUUAACACAUGCAAGUCGAGGGGUAACAGGAGAGAGCUUGCUUUCUUGCUGACGACCGGCGCACGGGUGAGUAACGCGUAUCCAACCUUCCCCUUAGUAGCGGAUAGCCCGGCGAAAGUCGGAUUAAUACGCUAUGUUCUUCGUUGAUGGCAUCUGAUGUGAAGCAAAGAUUUAUCGCUAAGGGAUGGGGAUGCGUCUGAUUAGGUAGUCGGCGGGGUAACGGCCCACCGAGCCAUCGAUCAGUAGGGGUUCUGAGAGGAAGGUCCCCCACACUGGUACUGAGACACGGACCAGACUCCUACGGGAGGCAGCAGUGAGGAAUAUUGGUCAAUGGGCGCGAGCCUGAACCAGCCAAGUAGCGUGCAGGGAAUGACUGCCCUAUGGGUUGUAAACUGCUUUUAUCAGGGAAUAAAGUGAGGCACGUGUGCCUUUUUGUAUGUACCUGAUGAAUAAGGACCGGCUAAUUCCGUGCCAGCAGCCGC